GUCUUCAAAAUGGGCUAAAUAAUACCAACUUUGCAUGAUUUAUUUUUAUUUUUUAUUGUGUUCUAUACUAUGAUUUGGAGUUGUAUUCUUUUUGUAUUUCAGAAUAUGAAAUCUCUCAACAAUGUAGAAAAUGUGACUUAUGUGCCUGGAAUAUAUCCAUUUGUGUAUAUGGAAAUCAAAAUAUGUUUCUACCUUGAUCAUGGAUUGUCUGGUUAAAUUUAGAUUUCAACCUGUGAAAACGCCCCUGUGUCCCAGAUGAGUAGGAGAGGCAGGGAUACUGCAGAGAGGCUGCACUGUCUCAUGCAAGAUCACAACUCCAAAUGGAAAAUAAAUGCACUGCAACCACCACAAUCUGAAGUAAAAGUCAACAUUUGGGAAAUAAAGCCUCCUGAUUUUAGUUAUAAACUGUAUACAUCUUUGAGGCUUGCAGAAAAGCCAUCAAGGACCAUCAUGGAAGAAGAAAGAAGAAAAAUCCCUGAUUUUCCAGGAAAAAUGGUUCACCUUCCCAGCCUAAGGAAUCCUCCCAAGAAGGCCAUAUCUCCUAAAUUUAUAACUACAUUUCCACGUCUGGAUUCACAUAAAGCAAAGUUAAUGUUUGUGGAGAGUGGAAAAUAUCCAAAUGGUGUAUACCUCAAUCCAAAACCACAUGACUUUCGACAGGACUAGAAACACUAAGAAGAGAACCUCGUCUAACUUCUGGAU
rnacentral:lncRNA from 1 species